UGCAGCAGGCAGACAGCUCUUGUUUGCUGA
rnacentral:piRNA from 1 species